rnacentral:rRNA from 1 species
UGCAAUGGCCUAACGGCUGAACCAGCAACUUGGAAAAAUGAAACCAAAUUGUAAUAUAAUAUUACAAUAUUAACUAUGUUAAAUAAAGUUUUAGAUAAAUUAUUUGAUAAUGACAUAUUUUAUCUAUAAGUCUUGACCAAAUCAUGUGCCAGCAGUCGCGGCAAUACAUGAAAGACAAGUGUUAUUCAUCUUUAAUAGGUUUAAAGGGUACGUAGACAGUUAAUUAAGUUUAAACAUAAAUACUAAUUAUACUAGAGUUUUAUGUAAUAAAGUAGUACGGUGAGUGUAGGGAUGAAAUAUUUUGAUACCACUUAGAGACUGGUAAAGGCGAAAGCAACUUUUUAUGUAUAAACUGACGUUAAGGGACGAAGGCUUAACUAAUAAACAGGAUUAGGUACCCUAGUAAUGUGAGCAGACAAUGAUAAAUGCCAUAUGUAAGAUAUAAAAUAUUUUAUAUAUAAACGAAAGUGUAAGCAUUUCACCUCAAGAGUAAUACGGCAACGUAGGAACUGAAAUCAUUAGACCGUUUCUGAAACCAGUAGUGAAGUAUGUUGUUUAAUUUGAUAAUCCACGGAAAACCUUACCACAAUUUGUAUAUAUAAGUAUACAAGCGUUGCACGGCUGUCUUCAGUUGAUGUCGUGAGAUUUUGGUUAGAUCCAUUAAAUUAGCGUAAACCCUUACCUUUUUUUAUACAAAAGGUAGUCCACCAAACACUUUGGUUAUGGUAUAAGGGACUAAGACAAGUCAUCAUGGCCU